GAUGAACGCUGGCGGCGUGCUUAACACAUGCAAGUCGAACGAAGCAACUUUGAAACUUCGGUUUCAAAGUUGACUUAGUGGCGGACGGGUGAGUAACGCGUAGGUAACCUACCUUAUACAGGGGGAUAACAGCUGGAAACGGCUGCGAAUACCGCAUAACACAGAGUGUUCGCACGAAUGUUCUGCCAAAGAUUUAUCGGUAUAAGAUGGACCUGCGUCUGAUUAGCUAGUUGGUGAGGUAAUGGCUCAACAAGGCGACGAUCAGUAGCCGACUUGAGAGAGUGAUCGGCCACAUUGGGACUGAGACACGGCCCAAACUCCUACGGGAGGCAGCAGUGGGGAAUAUUGCACAAUGGGGGAAACCCUGAUGCAGCGACGCCGCGUGAGUGAAGAAGUAUUUCGGUAUGUAAAGCUCUAUCAGCAGGGACGAAUAAAAUGACGGUACCUGACUAAGAAGCCCCGGCUAACUACGUGCCAGCCGCCGCCGUAA
rnacentral:rRNA from 1 species